GCCCCCGUAGCUCAAUGGAUAGAGCACUGUCCUUCUAAGUCAGCCGUUGCAGGUUCGAGUCCUGCCGGGGGCG
rnacentral:tRNA from 1 species